CCUACGGGAGGCAGCAGUGGGGAAUUUUGGACAAUGGGCGAAAGCCUGAUCCAGCCAUGCCGCGUGCAGGAUGAAGGCCUUCGGGUUGUAAACUGCUUUUGUACGGAACGAAACGGUCUCUUCUAAUAAAGGGGCUAAUGACGGUACCGUAAGAAUAAGCACCGGCUAACUACGUGCCAGCAGCCGCGGUAAUACGUAGGGUGCAAGCGUUAAUCGGAAUUACUGGGCGUAAAGCGUGCGCAGGCGGUUAUAUAAGGACAGUUGUGAAAUCCCCGGGCUCAACCUGGGAACUGCAUCUGUGACUGUAUAGCUAGAGUACGGUANAGGGGGAUGGAAUUCCGCGGUGUAGCAGUGAAAUGCGUAGAUAUG
rnacentral:rRNA from 1 species